rnacentral:tRNA from 1 species
AUCUAAAUAGUUUAUUUAAAAUAUUGAUUUGUGGUGUCAAUGAAAUGAGGUUGUCAUUUUAGAUC